rnacentral:SRP_RNA from 1 species
GCUGGGCAUGGUGGCACAUGCCUGUAGUCCCAGCUACUCAGGAGGCUGAGGUGGGAGAAUCGCUUGAGCCUGGGAGGUCGAGACUGCAGUGAGCCAAGAUCAUGCCACUGCAUUCCAGCCUGGGUGACAGAGUGAGACCCAAUCUCUA